rnacentral:rRNA from 1 species
GAUGAACGCUGGCGGCGUGCCUAAUACAUGCAAGUCGAGCGAACGGACGAGAAGCUUGCUUUUCUGAUGUUAGCGGCGGACGGGUGAGUAACACGUGGAUAACCUACCUAUAAGACUGGGAUAACUUCGGGAAACCGGAGCUAAUACCGUAUAAUAUUUUGAACCGCAUGGUUCAAAAGUGAAAGACGGUCUUGCUGUCACUUAUAGCUGGAUCCGCGCUGCAUUAGCUAGUUGGUAAGGUAACGGCUUACCAAGGCAACGAUGCAUAGCCGACCUGAGAGGGUGAUCGGCCACAUUGGAACUGAGACACGGUCCAGACUCCUAUGGGAGGCAGCAGUAGGGAAUCUUCCGCAAUGGGCGAAAGCCUGACGGAGCAACGCCGCGUGAGUGAUGAAGGUCUUCGGAUCGUAAAACUCUGUUAUUAGGGAAGAACAUAUGUGUAAGUAACUGUGCACAUCUUGACGGUACCUAAUCAGAAAGCCACGGCUAACUACGUG